UACACCUGAGGAAACGGUCUUAGUAACCAGGAAACGCGUUGUGAUAAUUGUUUUUAUUAAACAUUUUAUAUUAUACUAGUAGCACGGCAUUUUUGGUAUUUUAUUUUCUGCCAUUUGUGCACUGAUAUUUUUAUCGAUUGGAGGGUGAAUCCCUAGGUGCUUUUUGGAGUCUUUGUGGACCUUACGUUUUAGCCCAGAGGAUAACCUGUGAACACAGUGAUCUGGUAGCUGACAAGUGUCCAGGAGGUCUUUGUGGCACUUCUCAAGUGCCCCACAUCUCGUGAGUACAUUUCAAUAUUUGCGCACUUGCUAGUGUUCUCACUGAUACACACUAUUGUGGCACUUUUGUAUUUUUGUCUUGCACAGCCUAAUACUGAAGCAACAUUGGCCAAAUACAGCUAGCUGGACGGCUGCAAAUAGUUCAGAAGGCAUAUGUGGCACUUCUCAAGUGCUGGAAAUCUUGUAAGUAAGGUUUAUUUGGGGGCUUGGCCUUCUGUAGUUCAAACGAUACACACCAUUUGGCGCCUCUUCUCUUCUUCUUUUUAACAGUUUACACCAGCAUUUAAAUACUUUAUUAGAAUGUAUCAUGUACAUUGUUGAUGUGGUAAUAUCAUAGUAAAUUUGGCUAGCACACUAAUUAGCAGUUACCAUUAUAAGUAUAGGAAUAGGGUGCGCUAAUUUAGCCACACACAAAAUACCACUCUUUUGUUACAAAUUAUAUUAACCAAUGCCUUCUAAUUCCAAAUCGGGCGAUACAGAUGGUACGAGGUAGAGAACAAAGUAGUGCAUGUUCUCAGUAAUAUUAUCCUGGCUCUUUCAGUAAAAGUGUGUGACAGAACCAGUCCCUGUGUCAGUGCUGAAUGAGUUGUGUGUGUUUCAGGUGCCUAUAAAGUGUGAUGAUGUUGCUGUGUAUUUCUCUAUGGAGGAGUGGGAGUAUAUAGAGGGACACAGGGAGCUUUACAAGGACGUCAUGAUGGAGACUCACCAAGCACUAAAGACUAUGGAGAUCCCAGGAAAUGAGAGUUCAGAAUUAACAGGUCAGAGUGAGGAAAUUCUUUACACAUGAGCUACAGAUCUUGUACAGAAUAUUGAGUCAGUGGAGACCCCAUCAGACGUUGCUGCAGGUUAAAAUGAUGCUAAGAUUUCAUGUAAAACAGAACAAGCAGCAGAUCAGUGGCUACGGAAUAUGCCAGAAGCAGCUGAGCAGGAAAUAUGUGACAAUAUAAGUACAGGUGCAUUCACAAACCGCAAUAGUCCUAAUCAUGAUCGCAGUGUGGAUUCUUUCAAUCUUCUUCAAAAUCCAAGAAGCUACAUUACAAAUUUAUGUUCUGAAUGUGGGGAAUGUUUUAACCAGAAAUAAGAUCUCAUUACCCAUCAGAAAUAUCAUACAGGAGAAAAAGCAUUUUCAUGUUCUGAGUGUGGGAAAUGUUUUACCUGUAAAUCAUAUCUUAUUAACCAUCUUAAAAUGUAUAUAAGAGAGAAAUAAUUCUAAUGUUCUAAUUGUGGAAAUUGUUUUACAAUUAAAUCAAAUCUUAUUACUCAUCAGAAAA